GGGUGCGUAACACGUGGGUAACCUGCCCUUUGGUGGGGAAUAACCUCGCGAAAGCGAGGCUAAUUCCGCAUAAGAUCCGCCAGGAUGAAAGCCGCAAGGCGCCGAAGGAGGGGCCCGCGCACGAUUAGUUAGUUGGUAGGGUAAAGGCCUACCAAGACUAUGAUCGUUA
rnacentral:rRNA from 1 species